AGCUCCAAUAGCGUAUAUUAAAGUUGUUGCAGUUAAAAAGCUCGUAGUUGAAAUUCUGAUUGUUCGGGUCUCGAGCCCUUAGGCAGAGAAACCGACAGUCAUCCGCUUGCAAACAUACGUUCGGCCUUAACCAGUCGGCUAUGUGAGUAAGCAUUUUACCUUGAGAAAAACAGAGUGUUCCAGGCAGGUUUGUCCGGAAUGCAUUAGCAUGGAAUAAUAGAACAUGACUGAAGUCAAUUAAAUGGUUUAAGGCUCCAGUAAUGAUUAAUAGGAACAGUCGGGGGCAUUGGUACUCAGCAGUCAGAGGUGAAAUUCUAAGAUUUGCUGAAGACUAACUAAUGCGAAAGCAUUUGCCAAGGAUGUUUUCA
rnacentral:rRNA from 1 species